AGUGAACGCUGGCGGUAGGCCUAACACAUGCAAGUCGAACGGCAGCACAGUAAGAGCUUGCUCUUACGGGUGGCGAGUGGCGGACGGGUGAGGAAUACAUCGGAAUCUACUUUUUCGUGGGGGAUAACGUAGGGAAACUUACGCUAAUACCGCAUACGACCUACGGUUGAAAGCAGUGGAUCUUCGGACCUUGCGCGGUUGAAUGAGCCGAUGUCGGAUUAGCUAGUUGGCGGGGUAAAGGCCCACCAAGGCGACGAUCCGUAGCUGGUCUGAGUGGAUGAUCGGCCACACUGGAACUGAGACACGGUCCAGACUCCUACGGGAGGCAGCAGUGGGGAAUAUUGGACAAUAGGCGCAAGCCUGAUCCAGUCAUACCGAGUGGGUGAAGAAGGCCUUCGGGUUGUAAAGACCUUUUGUUGGGAAAGAAAAGCAGCAGGUUAAUACCCCGCUGUUCUGACGGUACCCAAAGAAUAAGCACCGGCUAACUUCGUG
rnacentral:rRNA from 1 species